CGUAGGUGAACCUGCGGAGGGAUCAUUACCGAGUUUACAACUCCCAAACCCCUGUGAACAUACCAAUUGUUGCCUCGGCGGAUCAGCCCGCUCCCGGUAAAACGGGACGGCCCGCCAGAGGACCCCUAAACUCUGUUUCUAUAUGUAACUUCUGAGUAAAACCAUAAAUAAAUCAAAACUUUCAACAACGGAUCUCUUGGUUCUGGCAUCGAUGAAGAACGCAGCAAAAUGCGAUAAGUAAUGUGAAUUGCAGAAUUCAGUGAAUCAUCGAAUCUUUGAACGCACAUUGCGCCCGCCAGUAUUCUGGCGGGCAUGCCUGUUCGAGCGUCAUUUCAACCCUCAAGCCCUCGGGUUUGGUGUUGGGGAUCGGCGAGCCCUUGCGGCAAGCCGGCCCCGAAAUCUAGUGGCGGUCUCGCUGCAGCUUCCAUUGCGUAGUAGUAAAACCCUCGCAACUGGUACGCGGCGCGGCCAAGCCGUUAAACCCCCAACUUCUGAAUGUUGACCUCGGAUCAGGUAGGAAUACCCGCUGAACUUAAGCAUAUCAAUAA
rnacentral:rRNA from 1 species